UUGGUCAUAAUGUUUAUGCAGGA
rnacentral:piRNA from 1 species